UAACCAUAUGAUGAUUUUGGAUUUUAAUACUCACGACGGUCGUCUGAGAUUUACUUGAUGUAUUAAUCCUAUAUUUCUGAUGGUU